CGUUGUUUAGACUGAACAGUCGCUUCUGGUUGCGUCACACCUAAACCCACCUCAAAACCAACGCUGAUUGGUUGGUCGUUUAGCGAACGGCUCCAAAGUUUCUCUGUCUCAAGAUGCCAGACUGAUCUGCGAGUGGAAAACUGGAGCUCGCCAGAUCAGGACGCUCUCACGAGGCAAGCCAUGUACUG